UGGCUAAUACCGGGAUGUGCCGAGAGGUGAAAGGUUAACUGCCUGGAGAUGAGCUCGCGUCUGAUUAGCUAGUUGGUGGUGUAAGGGACUACCAAGGCGACGAUCAGUAGCUGGUCUGAGAGGAUGAUCAGCCACACUGGAACUGAGACACGGUCCAGACUCCUACGGGAGGCAGCAGUGGGGAAUUUUCCGCAAUGGGCGAAAGCCUGACGGAGCAAUACCGCGUGAGGGAGGAAGGCUCUUGGGUUGUAAACCUCUUUUCUCAGGGAAUAAGCAAGUGAAGGUACCUGAGGAAUCAGCAUCGGCUAACUCCGUGCCAGCAGCCGCGGUAAUACGGAGGAUGCAAGCGUUAUCCGGAAUGAUUGGGCGUAAAGCGUCCGUAGGUAGCAGUGUGUGUCUAUUGUUAAAGAGUUUGGCUUAACCAAAUAAAGGCGGUAGAAACUACACAGCUAGGGUGCGUUCGGGGCAGAGGGAAUUCCUGGUGUAGCGGUGAAAUGCGUACAGAUCAGGAAGAACACCGGUGGCGAAAGCGCUCUGCUAGGCCGCAACUGACACUG
rnacentral:rRNA from 1 species